rnacentral:pre_miRNA from 1 species
AAAUCACCCCCUAAGUUUUGCAACUGUAGCAGUUUUGGCCCCCAAGGCCAAUUUUUGGUAAAAAAAAAAAAAAAAAAACAUGUGGCACCUCACUUAGGGUGCCACGUCAGCGUAGACCGAAUCAAAAUUGAUUUUGGGGGGCCAAAACUGGCACAGAUGCAAAGCUUAGGGGGUGAUUU